rnacentral:rRNA from 1 species
UACGAAGGGGGCUAGCGUUGUUCGGAUUUACUGGGCGUAAAGCGCACGUAGGCGGAUCGUUAAGGUCGGGGGUGAAAUCCUGGAGCUCAACUCCAGAACUGCCUUCGAUACUGGCGAUCUUGAGUCCGGAAGAGGUGAGUGGAACUCCUAGUGUAGAGGUGGAAUUCGUAGAUAUUAGGAAGAACACCAGUGGCGAAGGCGGCUCACUGGUCCGGUACUGACGCUGAGGAGCGAAAGCGUGGGGAGCAAACAGG